AAUUGAUUUACGGAACAUCUUUCCAUUAAUUAACCUGCCUCACAAAUCCAAUUCUUCCCUCAUCUAUCCUGAUUUCUCAUUUUCCCCAAAUUUCACCGCCCCAACUCCACGCCGCCUCCACCCUACAAAACCAUACUUGUAAUAAGCCCUAUCACUUCCCAUCCAACCAGUCCGUCAACGCCGCUGCUCUCCACCACAAGCUAGUUACCGGCCUCGUUGCUACCCAGGCUAUUACUAGUCCGCCGCCCCUGUUACUCCAAUUGAGGCACUUGAUCAUUAUCAUCACCCUUUUUGACCCAACUCUAAUGGUGAGAAAACUGUACAGGUUUUGUAGGCUACCAGCCUCCUCAAGAUGGGAAAGUCUUCUGGAAAAUGGAUUAAGGGCAUUACUUUUGGUAAAAAAAAGAAUCCAAUCUAGUCUGUUGCCAUCUUGUAAGUUUCAUUAUGUAUUUUCUGUUCAUAUUUUUUUUAUUUCGUUCCCACUCGCCCUAAUCGCACCUAUCAUUCGUGAGACAUCUAUGUGUACAGUAAUGUUCCUAAGUGUGAUCAUUUUGGGUUUUGGAGGAUCUUUCUCUUAAUUGUGAUUAUACAAACCAGAUGCAGCAACUUUUGUUUCCUCUAUUGAAAGAAUCUUCAUCUCUGCACUGUCUAUAUAAUGUGUAUUUUGGGUUUUGGGUUUUGGCUGACAUUUUUGAGGAUUAAAUGAAGUUCUUACAAAGAUGAAGUUAAUCAAGAAAUGUAAUUUAGAGUACAUUGUUGUGAUAAGGAGCUCCAAGGAAAAUUGGAAAUGCUAGAUAAACUUUGUAGCUAUCUAGAGCAUUUUUUUAUUGAUUUCAUUUUAAAAUUGUAUACUAUGAUUUUAUUGAAAUUAUUAUGUAAAUAAUUUUUUAAAGUUUUUGUAUGUAAUUGAUUGUUUUGUAUA